AAAUUGAAGAGUUUGAUCAUGGCUCAGAUUGAACGCUGGCGGCAGGCCUAACACAUGCAAGUCGAACGGUAACAGGAAGAAGCUUGCUUCUUUGCUGACGAGUGGCGGACGGGUGAGUAAUGUCUGGGAAACUGCCUGAUGGAGGGGGAUAACUACUGGAAACGGUAGCUAAUACCGCAUAACGUCGCAAGACCAAAGAGGGGGACCUUCGGGCCUCUUGCCAUCGGAUGUGCCCAGAUGGGAUUAGCUAGUAGGUGGGGUAACGGCUCACCUAGGCGACGAUCCCUAGCUGGUCUGAGAGGAUGACCAGCCACACUGGAACUGAGACACGGUCCAGACUCCUACGGGAGGCAGCAGUGGGGAAU
rnacentral:rRNA from 1 species